UUCCACUGCAGAAUUCUAGUGAAAAGAGUUAUUUUUUGCUCUGAUUGUGAUGAACAUAGUGGUAUACGUUUCGUGACGUAAAAGCAAACGGGAGACAAAGAAAGAGAAUUUAAUCCAAAAAGCUCAAGACAUGGGGAAGGAACGGACGGAGGAACUUAGCUUCAAACUACACUGAUGCCAAUAAUGGAAGAAGUGCAGCUUUAAAAGGCAGAGUGGAGCUAAUCACAUAAUAAGAGGUCUUAGAAAUGCUUCGCCUGCUCCUAUCAAAGCAACAAUCGAGACAAUACCUUGUUCCAUAAAGGAGUCUAACCCUGUAAUUCCCCCAAGUGGAGUUAGAAACCGAAAUAUUACAGAAG